AUUGAACGCUGGCGGCAGGCCUAACACAUGCAAGUCGAGCGGAUGAAGGGAGCUUGCUCCUGGAUUCAGCGGCGGACGGGUGAGUAAUGCCUAGGAAUCUGCCUGGUAGUGGGGGAUAACGUCCGGAAACGGGCGCUAAUACCGCAUACGUCCUGAGGGGGAAAGUGGGGGAUCUUCGGACCUCACGCUAUCAGAUGAGCCUAGGUCGGAUUAGCUAGUUGGUGGGGUAAAGGCCUACCAAGGCGACGAUCCGUAACUGGUCUGAGAGGAUGAUCAGUCACACUGGAACUGAGACACGGUCCAGACUCCUACGGGAGGCAGCAGUGGGGAAUAUUGGACAAAGGGCGAAAGCCUGAUCCAGCCAUGCCGCGUGUGUGAAGAAGGUCUUCGGAUUGUAAAGCACUUUAAGUUGGGAGGAAGGGCAGUAAGUUAAUACCUUGCUGUUUUGACGUUACCAACAGAAUAAGCACCGGCUAACUUCGUG
rnacentral:rRNA from 1 species